rnacentral:lncRNA from 7 species
UGAAACCUAUUCGAAUAGUCUGUGUCCACUGGUAUGGACGAGUCUGGUGUGGUAUGACAAUUAGUGUUUUUAUAACCUCCGUGAACAGGGAAAUGUGUGUGUGUAAAUGUGUACUAAAAAAGAAAGCAAGGCCACGAGAGCGGGAAGCUCAGUGGUAGUUGAGUAUUUUGUUAUUUUUAAUUCUUUGGGGAAAACCCUACAUCAACUGCCUUUCUCUAAGAAAAUGAAGAGUGACUUCAACUCCACCAAAUAAAGCAUGUAUGAUAUAGGUCUCUUUCUCUUUACGGGAGCGGGGUGGGCUUGCAGAAUACCUAGUGUAUUCACCCAGAUUUAUUUAUGUUUUUCAGCAGUCGAAGACUUCUUUUCUGCUAUGCUUGAUUGAGAGGGCUGUGCCUGCACCCAGUUCUGCCUGUGGCUUGGGCUAGUGUACUUUCUACUGCGCUUAUUAUUCUAGCUCUCUCGAGCUUGUACCCCGGUAUUGUAAUAACCUUUAUUUGAACUCUGUACUAUUUGAAGUAAGGAAUGUGGUUACUAGCCUCCUGGGACUAGUAAUUGUUU